rnacentral:sRNA from 14 species
CUGACAGCACUGGAAACUGAAGUCCUUUUUUUGUCUGUUAAUAAAUAGGUACAAUGUGAGAAGCAACAGCAGUGCAAGCUACACCCCACUGCCCCACCAAAGUGCUGCAAACCCUGACCUAGAGAGAGAUUUCUAGAAAGGGCUGAGACUUGUUCAGUCUCCAUGCUCACUCAGUCAUUACUGUGGCU